rnacentral:rRNA from 1 species
UACGUAGGGGGCUAGCGUUGUCCGGAAUCAUUGGGCGUAAAGCGCGUGUAGGCGGUCCGGUAAGUCCGCUGUGAAAGUCGGGGGCUCAACCCUCGGAUGCCGGUGGAUACUGUCGGGCUUGAGUACGGAAGAGGCGAGUGGAGUUCCUGGUGUAGCGGUGAAAUGCGCAGAUAUCAGGAGGAACACCAAUUGCGAAGGCAGCUCGCUGGGACGUUACUGACGCUGAGACGCGAAAGCGUGGGGAGCAAACAGG